CGCGAUAUCGAUUCGCGUGUCGCCCUUAGAGUUUGAUCCUGGCUCAGGACGAACGCUGGCGGCGUGCCUAAUACAUGCAAGUUGAACGCUUGAUUUUCACCGAAGCUUGCUUCACCGAAAAUCAAGAGUAGCGAACGGGUGAGUAACGCGUGGGUAAUCUACCUAUCAGCGGGGGAUAACUAUUGGAAACGAUAGCUAAUACCGCAUAACGAUGUUGGAUGCAUAUUCGGCAUUUGAAAGUACCAACUGGUACACUGAGAGAUGGACCCGCGUUGUAUUAGCUAGUUGGUAGUGUAAUGGACUACCAAGGCGAUGAUACAUAGCCGACCUGAGAGGGUGAUCGGCCACAUUGGGACUGAGACACGGCCCAAACUCCUACGGGAGGCAGCAGUAGGGAAUCUUCGGCAAUGGACGAAAGUCUGACCGAGCAACGCCGCGUGAGUGAAGAAGGUUUUCGGAUCGUAAAACUCUGUUGUUAGAGAAGAACGUUGCAUAGAGUGGAAAAUUAUGCAAGUGACGGUAUCUAACCAGAAAGGGACGGCUAACUACGUGCCAGCAGCCGCGGUAAUACGUAGGUCCCGAGCGUUGUCCGGAUUUAUUGGGCGUAAAGCGAGCGCAGGUGGUUUAAUAAGUCUGAUGUAAAAGGCAGUGGCUCAACCAUUGUGUGCAUUGGAAACUGUUAGACUUGAGUGCAGUAGAGGAGAGUGGAAUUCCAUGUGUAGCGGUGAAAUGCGUAGAUAUAUGGAGGAACACCGGUGGCGAAAGCGGCUCUCUGGACUGUCACUGACACUGAGGCUCGAAAGCGUGGGUAGCAAACAGGAUUAGAUACCCUGGUAGUCCACGCCGUAAACGAUGAGUGCUAGUUGUUUGGGGCUAUCCAGCCCUAAGUGACGCAGCAAACGCAUUAAACACUCCGCCUGGGGAGUACGACUGCAAGGUUGAAACUCAAAGGAAUUGACGGGGGCCCGCACAAGCGGUGGAGCAUGUGGUUUAAUUCGAAGCAACGCGAAGAACCUUACCAGGUCUUGACAUACUCGUGCUAUUCCUAGAGAUAGGAAGUUCCUUCGGGACACGGGAUACAGGUGGUGCAUGGUUGUCGUCAGCUCGUGUCGUGAGAUGUUGGGUUAAGUCCCGCAACGAGCGCAACCCCUAUUGUUAGUUGCCAUCAUUAAGUUGGGCACUCUAGCGAGACUGCCGGUAAUAAACCGGAGGAAGGUGGGGAUGACGUCAAAUCAUCAUGCCCCUUAUGACCUGGGCUACACACGUGCUACAAUGGUUGGUACAACGAGUCGCAAGGCAGUGAUGCCAAGCUAAUCUCUUAAAGCCAAUCUCAGUUCGGAUUGUAGGCUGCAACUCGCCUACAUGAAGUCGGAAUCGCUAGUAAUCGCGGAUCAGCACGCCGCGGUGAAUACGUUCCCGGGCCUUGUACACACCGCCCGUCACACCACGAGAGUUUGUAAUACCCAAAGCCGGUGAGCUAACCUUUUAGGAGGCAGCCGUCUAAGGUAGGAUAGAUGAUUGGGGUGAAGUCGUAACAAGGUAACCAAGGGCGACACGCGAAUCGAUAUCAAGCU
rnacentral:rRNA from 1 species